rnacentral:rRNA from 1 species
UGAGACAGGUGCUGCAUGGCUGUCGUCAGCUCGUGUUGUGAAAUGUUGGGUUAAGUCCCGCAACGAGCGCAACCCUUAUCCUUUGUUGCCAGCACAUAAUGGUGGGAACUCAAAGGAGACUGCCGGUGAUAAACCGGAGGAAGGUGGGGAUGACGUCAAGUCAUCAUGGCCCUUACGAGUAGGGCUACACACGUGCUACAAUGGCGUAUACAAAGAGAAGCGAACUCGCGAGAGCAAGCGGACCUCAUAAAGUACGUCGUAGUCCGGAUCGGAGUCUGCAACUCGACUCCGUGAAGUCGGAAUCGCUAGUAAUCGUAGAUCAGAAUGCUACGGUGAAUACGUUCCCGGGCCCUGUACACACCGCCCGUCACACCAUGGGAGUGGGUUGCAAAAGAAGUAGGUAGCUUAACCUUCGGGAGGGCGCUUACCACUUUGUGAUUCAUGACUGGGGUGAAGUCGUAACAAGGUAACCGUA